UACAGAGGUCCCAAGCGUUGUUCGGAUUCAUUGGGCGUAAAGGGUGCGUAGGCGGCGCGGUAAGUCGGGUGUGAAAUCUCGGGGCUUAACUCCGAAAUUGCAUUCGAUACUGCCGUGCUUGAGGACUGGAGAGGAGACUGGAAUUUACGGUGUAGCGGUGAAAUGCGUAGAUAUCGUAAGGAAGACCAGUGGCGAAGGCGGGUCUCUGGACAGUUCCUGACGCUGAGGCACGAAGGCCAGGGGAGCAAACGGG
rnacentral:rRNA from 1 species